rnacentral:misc_RNA from 1 species
UGGCUCUCGCAUCGAUGAAGAACGCAGCGAAAUGCGAUAAGUAAUGUGAAUUGCAGAAUUCAGUGAAUCAUCGAAUCUUUGAACGCACCUUGCGCCCUCUGGUAUUCCGGAGGGCAUGCCUGUUUGAGUGUCUUGAUAUCAUCAAUCCCUCGGGUUCGCGCCCGCUGCGGGUUGGAAUUGGGGGUCUGCUGCCGCGAGGCGGCUCCCCUUAAAAUCAUCGGUUUGGCCCGCAACAUGCGGCUAGCACCUUUGGCGUUGUAUUCUCCUCGCCUUUGAUCGGUCUUGCCCGCUUCCGCGCCUCACCUCGACUUGCCCUUUGGGUGGCGGUCAAUUCUUGACAAUCUGGCCUCAAAUCAGGUAGGACUACCCGCUGA